UUUCGGCUGUAUGUCCGUUUAGGGGCGGUUUAGGGCUGUGCUAACCGUCUUUGUCUUGUCUUUGCAGGUGCCGCACCGUUGUUAGUAUGGAUUUUGGGCCAUUCCUUCGUUUUUUGGGGGGCCUUGAGGGCGGACGUCCGACAGAAUGGGCGCCAGUUGGGGUUUGAGCGUGGGAUGGCCGUGGUGAGAUGGAUCGGGCGUAGAGGUAUGUUGUGGGGUAGUGUGCUUCAGGAGGUUCAUCGUCACGUUAGACUGGAUAGGGCCCCGGAUGUCUUGGUAUUACAUGUUGGGGGGAAUGACCUUGGGGUCCGUCCCUGCAGGGAAUUGAUUAGGGAUAUUCGUUUCGAUUUCUUGCGUUUAUGGUCCCUUUUUCCGUCAAUGGUCACGGUAUGGUCUGACAUUGUGCCCAGGAAGGUCUGGAGGGAGGCGAGAUCUGUGGACAAGCUCAAUAAGGCCAGGAUUAAACUGAACCGGGUUAUUGGGCGGUUUUGUGCCAAGCAUGGUGCAGUGGUGGUGCGGCACCCUGAGUUGGAAGCAGGGACUGGAGGUUUUUGGAGACAGGAUGGGGUCCACCUUAAUGCGGUGGGUAUUGACUUGUGGUCCCUUGAUUUGCAGGGAGGUGUUGAGAGGGCCCUCCGGGUGUGGCGGAACGCGCGAGCUUAAGGUUGCGGUCAAGCUGCGCGUUGUUGGCGGGGGGAGGUCAUAGAAGCUGGGGCUACUGGAUGGUAACGGUGAAUGAGAGGGCCUCAAUGGUGGGGCUGGACUCUCAGAGUUGGGGCACCUGGUUGGCUUGGUACGGCGUCCGUCAGUUGGUGUCCCCGAGCUUGUGGUAAGCGGCUGGGGGCAAGAUGGAAUAGCCGUGGUGGUUUGUGGUCGUUUAAGGUGCAGUUAGGCGGCUUCUAGGACCUCCCUCGUCAGUUAUAUAUUUAUACAAAUGUUUAUGUUUUGUUCAUGUUAUUUAUAUUAUUUAAUAAAGAACGGCUGCUGUGGCCGAUUUAAUCCAAA